UACAGAGGUCCCAAGCGUUGUUCGGAUUCACUGGGCGUAAAGGGCGCGUAGGCGGCCGCCUAAGUCAGACGUGAAAUCCCUCGGCUCAACCGGGGAACUGCGUCUGAUACUGGGAGGCUUGAAUCCGGGAGAGGAAUGUGGAAUUCCAGGUGUAGCGGUGAAAUGCGUAGAUAUCUGGAGGAACACCGGUGGCGAAGGCGGCAUUCUGGACCGGUAUUGACGCUGAGGCGCGAAAGCCAGGGGAGCAAAGCGGG
rnacentral:rRNA from 1 species